GAUGAACGCUGGCGGCGUGCCUAAUACAUGCAAGUCGAGCGAGAAGCUUGGAAAUGACGCUUCGGUUGAUUUUCCAAGCGGACAGCGGCGGACGGGUGAGUAACGCGUAGGCAACCUACCCCUGACAGAGGGAUAGCCAUUGGAAACGAUGAUUAAAACCUCAUGACACCGUAGUAGCACAUGCUACAUCGGUCAAAGAUUUAUCGGUCAGGGAUGGGCCUGCGUCUGAUUAACUGGUUGGUGAGGUAACGGCUCACCAAGGUGACGAUCAGUAGCCGACCUGAGAGGGUGAUCGGCCACAUUGGAACUGAGACACGGUCCAAACUUCUACGGAAGGCAGCAGUAGGGAAUCUUGCACAAUGGGCGAAAGCCUGAUGCAGCAACGCCGCGUGAAGGAUGAAGGCCUUCGGGUUGUAAACUUCUGUUCUAAGGGAAGAAAGAAAUGACGGUACCUUAGGAGCAAGCCCCGGCUAACUACGUGCCAGCAGCCGCGGUAAUACGUAGGGGGCAAGCGUUAUCCGGAAUUAUUGGGCGUAAAGAGUGCGUAGGUGGUUACCUAAGCGCAAGGUUUAAAUUAGAGGCUCAACCUCUACAUGCCUUGCGAACUGGGCUACUUGAGUGCAGGAGGGGAAAGCGGAAUUCCUAGUGUAGCGGUGAAAUGCGUAGAUAUUAGGAGGAACACCGGCGGCGAAGGCGGCUUUCUGGACUGUAACUGACACUGAGGCACGAAAGCGUGGGUAGCAAACAGG
rnacentral:rRNA from 1 species